GUUGGGCCCUGUUUCUGUGAGCAGCCUGGCUCGUGUGCCUUCCCCUGGGUGAAAGAGGCAAGGCCUGCCCAUUGUCAACACUUCCCUACUGCUGUACAAAGAAGAUGAGCAAUCUGUUCCCCCUCUGUCUCCCUUUGUGCAUCCCCAAUUUAGGAGUCAUCCCUCUUAACUGUUAUCUGCAGUCUAAACAGGACCUGCUUUUGGGCAGGGGAAUCAGCCCCUCUGAGGGUUGUGACUGCAGAAUCUGCCAUCUUCCCUUUUCCCCUCAUGCUGAUCCCUCAGCGGCUGGCACUUAGCACUUAUAGCACAAAUACAUGGGAUAGAGUGAGGUUACACAGAGCAUUUUGAAAAGGUUUUCUAUGAAGAUGGGACAGGCUGCAGUAAUAAAAUAUUGGGUUCAGCCAGGCCUGUACUCACUGGCCCUGGCUUACACCCAAUAUGCCUCUUUUAUACCCCUUUUCUGUCUACACCCUCUUUGUUGCAGUACAAUACUUGUAUGCCCAGCCAGCAACUGGGCUUAAACCAUUUAAUAUUUACUAUCUAGAAGUCACAUGUAUAAUGUGAGGUAUCUGCUCCACUUCCAAAUAAUGAAGAAGUUGCCAGGGUUGUUCUGGUGAAUGAUUCAUUUACCAACGUGGAUUUCUAAAGGGUUCAAAUGAAACAUGUUCUCAAAAGUGCAAAAAGGAGGACUCGAAGGCCCAGGCUUGGAUGCAGCACAACUUUAAUGAGGGUAAAGAAGAAAAGGAGGUGGCUCACAGGGAGCACCAGGGGCAGGCACCAAGAUGUGGUGCAGCUCCUGCAGGGUGUCCGUCUGCCUGCCCCUCACAGGGAGGGAGGGAGGCCGAGAGGUCCCCACUGGGCUGGUGUGGGAGGUGGAGAUGGGAAAGGAACAGAGAGGAGAGUGGGAGGAGGAAACAGCUCCGUGAAGCUCUAUCUCCUGUCCAGAUCCAUGUUGUGAGCUCUUGGAGGUUCCUGCCUGAGGAUGCAGCUUUAGCAGGGUCUGCACCUGGUGCCGCAGGAGCGGUUGGUGAUGCAGGAGAGGUCGAAGCCCCCGGAGUUGAU
rnacentral:lncRNA from 14 species